AUUGAACGCUGGCGGCAGGCCUAACACAUGCAAGUCGAACGAGCGGCGGACGGGUGAGUAAUGUCUGGGAAACUGCCUGAUGGGGGGGGAUAACUACUGGACACGGUAGCUAAUACCGCAUACCAUCGGAUGUGCCCAGAUGGGAUUAGCUAGUAGGUGGGGUAACGGCUCACCAAGGCGACGAUCCCUAGCUGGUCUUAGAGGAUGACCAGCCACACUGGAACUGAGACACGGUCCAGACUCCUACGUGAGGCAGCAGUUGUGAAUAUUGCACAAUGGGCGCAAGCCUGAUGCAGCCAUGCCGCGUGUAUGAAGAAGGCCUUCGGGUUGUAAAGUACUUUCAGCGAGGAGGCGUUACUCGCAGAAGAAGCACCGGCUAACUCCGUGCCAGCAGCCGCGGUAAUUC
rnacentral:rRNA from 1 species